GCCCAGCGCCGAAUCCCCCGUCCGCCCAGGGCGCGGGGAAAUGUGGCGUAUGGAAGUCCGUUUUUCCCGGCGCGGGCCGGGGGCCUGAGUCCUUCUGAUGGAGGCUCAGCCCGUGGACGGUGUGAGGCCGGUAAUGGCCCUCGCCCCGCCGGGGUUGCGGACUUCCCGGAGUCGGGUUGUUUGUGAAUGCAGCCCAAAGUGGGUGGUAAACUCCAUCUAAGGCUAAAUACUGGCACGAGACCGAUAGCGAACAAGUACCGUAAGGGAAAGUUGAAAAGAACUUUGAAGAGAGAGUUCAACAGGGCGUGAAACCGUUAAGAGGUAAACGGCUGGGGUCCGCACAGUCCGCCCGGGGGAUUCAACCCGGCGGUCCUGGCCGUCCCCGUCCGGCGAGCGUGCCCUCGUCCCUCCGGCCUCCCCCUCGGGGGCGGUCGGGCGGGGCGGGGGCCGCAACCGGGCGCGGGUCGGCCGCCGUCGGGCGCAUUUCCUCCGCGGCGGUGCGCCGCGACCGGCUCCGGCUCGGCUUGGAAGGGUCAGGGGGCGAAGGUGGGCUCGCGGGCUUCGGCCUCGAGCUUUUACAGCGCCCUCCCGCCCCGACUUCGCCGCUUGCCACCGGGGCCGCGGGCGAGUACCUCCGCGCCUUCCCUCUCACUCGUGGGAGGGACGGGGCCCCUCCGCCCCCGGCGUGGCUGUCGACCGGGCCGGACUGUCCUCAGUCCGCGCUCCGACCGCGCCGCGCCGCCAGGGCGGGGACCGGCCCUCGUACAAGGGCGCUCGGGGUCAGCGGCGAUGCCGGCCACCCAACCGACCCGUCUUGAAACACGGACCAAGGAGUCUAACGCGUGCGCGAGUCAAAGGGCUCGAAAAACCCCCACGGCGCAAUGAAGGUGAAGGCCGGCGCCCGCCGGCCGAGGUGGGAUCCCCCUCCCGAGGGAGGGGGCGCACCACCGGCCCGUCUCUCCCGCUCCGUCGGGGAGGUGGAGCUAGAGCGCACGCGAUGGUACCCGAAAGAUGGUGAACUAUGCCUGGGCAGGGCGAAGCCAGAGGAAACUCUGGUGGAGGCCCGCAGCGGUCCUGACGUGCAAAUCGGU
rnacentral:rRNA from 1 species